AUUGAACGCUGGCGGAAUGCUUUACACAUGCAAGUCGAGCGGCAGCGCGGGGGCAACCCUGGCGGCGAGCGGCGAACGGGUGAGUAACACAUCGGAACGUACCUUUGAGUGGGGGAUCACUAUCCGAAAGGAUAGCUAAUACCGCAUACGCCCUGAGGGGGAAAGGGGGGGAUCGCAAGACCUCUCGCUAAAAGAGCGGCCGAUGUCGGAUUAGCUAGUUGGUGGGGUAAAGGCCUACCAAGGCGACGAUCCGUAGCUGGUCUGAGAGGAUGAUCAGCCGCACUGGGACUGAGACACGGCCCAGACUCCUACGGGAGGCAGCAGUGGGGAAUUUUGGACAAUGGGGGCAACCCUGAUCCAGCCAUUCCGCGUGAGUGAAGAAGGCCUUCGGGUUGUAAAGCUCUUUCGGCAGGAACGAAACGGCGAGGGCUAAUAUCCCUUGUCAAUGACGGUACCUGAAGAAGAAGCACCGGCUAACUACGUGCCAGCAGCCGCAGUAAUAC
rnacentral:rRNA from 1 species